AGUGUUUGACAUGAAAUAUGACCCCAUAGGCCAUGUGACCUCCCAAUAUGAAGAAAGGAACACAGCCCCAAGGCUCAGAGAGUGCAUGCGUCUUCCCCAGGAUCACACAGGACACAGGUCAGAGCCAGCUCUGGACUCCAGAACCACUGAAUCUUCUCUGUGGACCUCAUAUCCCGGAUGUGGCCACCCUAGUGAACCUUUUCCAUGCCACCACAUGCUCUGGAUUUAGGAGGACUGCAAUUAAAAGCUGCCUACUCAGUGCAAGAGA